GACGAAGGUGGCGAGCGUUGUUCGGUGUUACUGGGCUUAAAGCGUGUGUAGGCGGAAUGGUAAGCGUCUUGUGAAAUCCCUCGGCUUAACCGAGGAAUCGCUUGGCGAACUGCUUUUCUUGAGGCAAGUAGGGGUGCAUGGAACUCUUGGUGGAGCGGUGGAAUGCGUAGAUAUCAAGAGGAACGCCGAUGGUGAAAACAGUGCACUGGGCUUGACCUGACGCUGAGACACGAAAGCGUGGGGAGCGAACGGGAUUAGAUACCCUUGUA
rnacentral:rRNA from 1 species